UGGGGAAUUUUGGACAAUGGGGGCAACCCUGAUCCAGCAAUGCCGCGUGUGUGAAGAAGGCCUUCGGGUUGUAAAGCACUUUUGUCCGGGAAGAAAUCCCCUGCCCUAAUACGGCGGGGGGAUGACGGUACCGGAAGAAUAAGCACCGGCUAACUACGUGCCAGCAGCCGCGGUAAUACGUAGGGUGCGAGCGUUAAUCGGAAUUACUGGGCGUAAAGCGUGCGCAGGCGGUGAUGUAAGACCGAUGUGAAAUCCCCGGGCUCAACCUGGGAACUGCAUUGGUGACUGCAUUGCUCGAGUAUGGCAGAGGGGGGUGGAAUUCCACGUGUAGCAGUGAAAUGCGUAGAGAUGUGGAGGAAUACCGAUGGCGAAGGCAGCCCCCUGGGCCAAUACUGACGCUCAUGCACGAAAGCGUGGGGAGCAAACAGGAUUAGAUACCCUGGUAGUCCACGCCCUAAAACGAUGUCAACUAGUUGUUGGGGAUUCAUUUCCUUAGUAACGUAGCUAACGCGUGAAGUUGACCGCCUGGGGAGUACGGUCG
rnacentral:rRNA from 1 species